UAAUGACAUUCUUUUAGAAGAGAAGAGACCGCGGGAAAAUGAUGUCACUUCCUGUUUGGCGAACGUGUGUGGUGAAGGGUUGGCGCGGAGCUGGUGGAAGUAUGCUAGGAGAACAUUUUAAAACGCUGUCUACAAGAACAUUGGGAAUUGCUCAUUAACUGUACAUGUCAUUAUAAGUUACCCGCGUAUUAGCAUGGGUGUCAGAUCCUGAAGUCCGCUCUGUGGUGUUUGGCUCAUCUUACAGUUAUAUAUCCGCCUGUUGUCGUUAGCUCACAGCUGACUCAAAUGGAUUUAAUGGAUGAACUUUAUGGAGAUCUUGAUGACAAGCCUUUUGGUGCUCUGCAUCACAUUGAGGACUCGGUAUACUCUGGCCUGGAAAACAGCCCUAAGAUUGAUGGGCACAGAGGUGGGUUUCAUUAAUGAGUCUUGAAUUGAUUACAGCACAUAGUUUUUAUUGAAAGUAAUUUGUUGAUGUAUGUGUAUCAGAGAAAUAGCAGGAUAAAACUUUAAUAUAUAGUAAUUAUUGUAGUGUCCUUUUUUUUUUAAAUUAGGUAAAGUCAACCCACUCCUUUCCCCACACACAAUGGAAUCAAUGGAUAUAUAUGAGGACAUUAUCAGGGAAGAACAAGAAGAAAAGGAAGCAACCUAUAAUGAGGUAUGUGACUUGAGCUUUGAAUAUGGUUGCAUGGCAUGCUA
rnacentral:lncRNA from 1 species